rnacentral:rRNA from 1 species
UAGCUGGUCUGAGAGGAUGACCAGCCACACUGGAACUGAGACACGGUCCAGACUCCUACGGGAGGCAGCAGUGGGGAAUAUUGGACAAUGGGGGGAACCCUGAUCCAGCAAUGCCGCGUGUGUGAAGAAGGCCUGAGGGUUGUAAAGCACUUUCRUUGGGGAGGAGGGNUGAUAGGUUAAGAGCUAAUGANNUGGACGUUACCCAMAGAAGCAGCASCRCCGGCUAACUCCGUGCCAGCAGCCGCGGUAAUACGGAGGGUGCAAGCGUUAAUCGGAAUUACUGGGCGUAAAGGGUGCGUAGGUAGUUUUUUAAGAUAUCUGUGAAAUACCUGGGCUUAACCUGGGAAGGUCAGAUAAGACUGGAAGACUUGAGUAUAG